AUUAUACUCCCUCCGUCCCAAAAUUCUUGUCUUAGAUUUGUCUAAAUACGGAUGUAUCUAGUUACGUUUUAGUGUUAGAUACAUCCGUAUCUAGACAAAUCUAAGACAAGAAUUUUGGGACGGAGGGAGUAUAUA
rnacentral:pre_miRNA from 1 species